UCCACACCUCAUCAGAAUACUGGAGAUGAUGAAAAACUGCCUCAUGACAGCUUCCUAAAGGGCAUAGGGAGGGACAAUCAAAGAGGAUCUUCUCCAGAUGAUUGAAUCUCCUGUGAGCUCAGCAUCAGAAUUAUAUUCCUAUGUUGCUAUUUUGUACCUUGCUACCAAGUUGAUAGUCUUAACCUGCCUGGAUCCUAUCAGAGAGGCCUCAAACGUCAUGCCAUCUCCAAAUUAUGUGCCCAGGGAAUCCUGUAGACCACAAUAUUAGAAGAAGUCGUCUGAGACCUACACACUUCAACCGAAUCCUCAGCCUUUCCCCUCACAAUUGAAACUUAGCAAGUCAG